GAUGAACGCUGGCGGCGUGCCUAAUACAUGCAAGUCGAGCGAACAGACGAGGAGCUUGCUCCUCUGACGUUAGCGGCGGACGGGUGAGUAACACGUGGAUAACCUACCUAUAAGACUGGGAUAACUUCGGGAAACCGGAGCUAAUACCGGAUAAUAUAUUGAACCGCAUGGUUCAAUAGUGAAAGACGGUUUUGCUGUCACUUAUAGAUGGAUCCGCGCCGCAUUAGCUAGUUGGUAAGGUAACGGCUUACCAAGGCGACGAUGCGUAGCCGACCUGAGAGGGUGAUCGGCCACACUGGAACUGAGACACGAUCCAGACUCCUACGGGAGGCAGCAGUAGGGAAUCUUCCGCAAUGGGCGAAAGCCUGACGGAGCAACGCCGCGUGAGUGAUGAAGGUCUUCGGAUCGUAAAACUCUGUUAUUAGGGAAGAACAAAUGUGUAAGUAACUAUGCACGUCUUGACGGUACCUAAUCAGAAAGCCACGGCUAACUACGU
rnacentral:rRNA from 1 species